rnacentral:rRNA from 1 species
GACGUAGGGCGCGAGCGUUGUCCGGAUUUAUUGGGCGUAAAGAGCUCGUAGGCGGCUUGUUGCGUCGACUGUGAAAACCCGCGGCUCAACCGUGUGGUCUGCAGUCGAUACGGGCAGGCUGGAGUUCGGUAGGGGAGACUGGAAUUCCUGGUGUAGCGGUGAAAUGCGCAGAUAUCAGGAGGAACACCGAGGGCGAAGGCAGGUCUCUGGGCCACUACUGACGCUGAGAAGCGAAAGCGUGGGGAGCGAACAGG